GAUGAACGCUGGCGGCGUGCCUAAUACAUGCAAGUCGAGCGAACGGACGAGAAGCUUGCUUCUCUGAUGUUAGCGGCGGACGGGUGAGUAACACGUGGAUAACCUACCUAUAAGACUGGGAUAACUUCGGGAAACCGGAGCUAAUACCGGAUAAUAUUUUGAACCGCAUGGUUCAAAAGUGAAAGACGGUCUUGCUGUCACUAAUAGAUGGAUCCGCGCUGCAUUGGCUAGUUGGUAAGGUAACGGCUUACCAAGGCAACGAUGCAUAGCCGACCUGAGAGGGUGAUCGGCCACACUGGAGCUGGGACACGGUCCAGGCUCCUGAGGGAGGCAGCAGUAGGGAAUCUUCGGCAAUGGGCGAAAGCCUUACGGAGCAACGCGGCGUGAGUGAUGAAGGUCUUCGGAUCGUAAAGCUCUGUUAUUAGGGAAGAACAUAUGUGUAAGUAAAUGUGCACAUCUUGACGGUACCUAAUCAGAAAGCCACGGCUAACUACGUG
rnacentral:rRNA from 1 species